CAAGGACACAUGUCUCUCUCUGUGGCUUGGCUGCCCAAAGGAGACCUCUUAGGAUGACAGCUCAGACUUUCAGUGACAAGACAGGAGCUGUCCCUUGGGGGAGUUCACUUCUGACCAAGUCCAGACUCCCAAUGUCACAGGAAUCUUAGAGCCGAAGGAGAAGGCAGGCUGUCAGCAGAGGAUCCGCUGUCUCUCAUCAAUAAUGAAGUGCUCCCAGGCCCUCAACUGAAGCCUCCUGCAUAAUUCACCUCGAAAACCUCAAACAAAAGAGCCCAGGGCCCAGUCUCCUACCCCGUGUCCUUCCCAAAUAUCCAAGGAGUGGGGAGGGGCGGGGCAGGGCGGGGAGGGAAGGGCAGGGGACA